AGGAGCUCUGACUGCAGCAGGUCGAUGGCGACUGGCACUCCUAACCCUCCAUCCUUAACAAGGCGUUUUGCAAAAGGAGGGGAGAUUUGCUGUUUUCCAGCCACCUAAGAUCAAACCUUAAGGAGCCCAAGGUACACCAGCAUGAAGAGGAUCACCUGAGUUACCUGGAGAUAUUGAGAUAUGCCCACCCCUACCACCAUGUGCCUGCUGUGUAAAGCUCAAUGGGCCACUACCAGGACCAUCCCAGUCCACUGUCUUCCAGGAAGCUCUGUACAACCAUCAGAAUCAUUCUGACCUGGCCACUGGAGUGUGUUCUUCAUUCUCCUGCACCACCCUCGUGUAUACCACUUUGGUUCUGACAUUGCACUGUUUCAGAAUGCUGUCAAGGUGGGUCUCAUGAGGAAUGGUAUCCAGGUCAGGGACAAACAAGGAGAGGCCAAGGACAGCCAUGAGCAAGUUUCAGGAAGUUCCAUCACACAGCUGAGAAAUGGGAUAUGAUGUGGCCACAGUCUAAGCUGGACAAAGCGGAGUCUGAAAAAGGAACUUAUCUAACUGUAUUCUAUGGGUAUUUGCUCAGUGGAAAUUCAGAAGGCUGGAACUAACAGCAUGGGCCUUUUCCUCAAGUACCUCUGCACUUAAGAAAGGAUGCUUUCUACUGCUCUCAGCCCAAGUAUUCCCUCUAGUAUCAUUCAAUGGUGAAUAGCUCACCAAAUUGGCAAUGGCUAAGUUUGAACAAAAUGAAUAUAUUAGCAAUGACUGAAACCAAUAAAGACCAACAACUCA